CCAACAGGGAUUGCCUCAGUAACGGCGAGUGAAGCGGCAACAGCUCAAAUUUGAAAUCUGGCUCCUUCGGGGUCCGAGUUGUAAUUUGUAGAGGAUGUUUCGGGUGCGGCGCCGGUCGAAGUCCCUUGGAACAGGGUGUCACAGAGGGUGAGAAUCCCGUACGUGGCCGGUGACCAAGCCCAUGUGAAACUCCUUCGACGAGUCGAGUUGUUUGGGAAUGCAGCUCUAAAUGGGUGGUAAAUUUCAUCUAAAGCUAAAUACCGGCCAGAGACCGAUAGCGCACAAGUAGAGUGAUCGAAAGAUGAAAAGCACUUUGGAAAGAGAGUUAAAAAGUACGUGAAAUUGUUGAAAGGGAAGCGCUUGCGACCAGACCUGCCCGUGGGUGCUCAGCGGCGGUUCUCCGCCGUGCACUCGCCCACGAUCAGGCCAGCAUCAGUUCCGGCGGCCGGAUAAAGACCCGAUGAAUGUGGCUCCUUUCGGGGAGUGUUAUAGCCUCGGGUGGCAUACGGCCAGCUGGGACUGAGGACCGCGCUUCGGCAAGGAUGCUGGCGUAAUGGUUGUAAGCGACCCGUCUUGAAACACGGACCAAGGAGUCUAACAUCUAUGCGAGUGUUUGGGUGUCAAACCCAUACGCGCAAUGAAAGUGAACGCUGGUCAGAGCCCUCCGGGUGCAUGAUCGACCGAUCUUGAAGUUUACGGAUGGAUUUGAGUAUGAGCAUAGCUGUUGGGACCCGAAAGAUGGUGAACUAUUCCUGAAUAGGGUGAAGCCAGAGGAAACUCUGGUGGAGGCUCGCAGCGGUUCUGACGUGCAAAUCGAUCGUCAAAUUUGGGUAUAGGGGCGAAAGACUAAUCGAACCAUUGAAUUUGAACGCUACUAGGUGGUUAAUCAGAGUACCUCCAGGUAGGUUACUCUCAGCCCUUCGGGGCGACGAUGCUAAUUGCGUGAACUGCACCCCGUAGAGGGUGCCGAGGACAUGCCGCGGCCGCGGAAGCGAUCGUACACAGACCAAACAGCAUCGSCUGGAGCCGAAGGCGUSCUCCAGUGUAGAUAUGGUC
rnacentral:rRNA from 1 species